GGUUGUGGCUCAGUGGUAGAGUGCAUGCCUAGCACAUGGGAGGCACUGAGUUCAAACCUCAGCACUA
rnacentral:tRNA from 1 species